GAUGAACGCUGGCGGCGUGCCUAAUACAUGCAAGUCGAGCGAACAGACGAGGAGCUUGCUCCUUCGACGUUAGCGGCGGACGGGUGAGUAACACGUAGGUAACCUACCUAUAAGACUGGGAUAACUUCGGGAAACCGGAGCUAAUACCGGUUAAUAUUUCGAACCGCAUGGUUCGAUAGUGAAAGAUGGCUUUGCUAUCACUUAUAGAUGGACCUGCGCCGUAUUAGCUAGUUGGUAAGGUAACGGCUUACCAAGGCAACGAUACGUAGCCGACCUGAGAGGGUGGUCGGCCACACUAGAACUGAGACACGGUCCAGACUCCUACGGGAGGCAGCAGUAGAGAAUCUUCCGCAAUGGGCGAAAGCCUGACGGAGCAACGCCGCGUGAGUGAUGAAGGUCUUCGGAUCGUAAAACGCUGUUAUUAGGGAAGAACAAACGUGUAAGUAACUGUGCACGUCUUGACGGUACCUAAUCAGAAAGCCACGGCUAACUACGUG
rnacentral:rRNA from 1 species